AAAUAUCUUUGUCGACUCGGUAGACUUCCUCUGCAGGGAAAAGCCAUCGGGAUGAGUUACACUUUAUGAUUUGCCCAGGGGCUUCAGCAGACUACUGCAUGUCCAACACCAUUUAUAAGGAAAUAUUGAAAAUUUUGGCGCAUGUAGUCCAGAGACUGAUCUACGGAUAACGGAUUUUUCUGCCUUUACUGACUGCCCUCUUGUGCUUGACCCCAGAUGAUGAUGCUUGGAUUGAUGCUCCAUGCUUUUCUCUGCAAGGGAGAGAGUGAAGAAGGAGUGACGUUUAAGCCCACAGUUGAAGAGAUCCUUGGCUACCCCAUUUCAGGCCUCAGGAUGAGCAUCC